UUCAACCUUCAGUAGCAAAUGACGUUCCGACCACGUGCCCGAAUGAUUGCAAUCAUAACGGAAACUGUCAGCUUGGAAAGUGCCACUGUUUCCCAGGUUACAUAGGUCAUGACUGUGCCGACAACGUGUGCCCUGUUUUGUGUAACAAUCAAGGCCGAUACGUGCAUGGCACGUGCCGAUGUGACGAAGGGUGGAAAGGAGCAGAAUGUAACGUUCCAGCUGAAGACUGUGAAAUACCUGACUGUAACCGUAGAGGCAAGUGUAUAGAGGGAGCUUGCAUCUGCAAACCUGGGUACAAGGGACAGUUUUGUGAUGAAGGCAAGUAGAAGUUUUUCAGUUUUUUGGAGAAAAAAAAAGUUCAGAAGCAUUGGUAA